rnacentral:rRNA from 1 species
CGGGGUGCAGCAGGCGCGAAAACUUUACAAUGCCGGCAACGGCGAUAAGGGGACCUCGAGUGCCAGGUUACAAAUCUGGCUGUCGUGAUGCCUAAAAAGCAUUGCAUAGCAAGGGCCGGGCAAGACCGGUGCCAGCCGCCGCGGUAACACCGGCGGCUCGAGUGGUAACCGUUAUUAUUGGGUCUAAAGGGUCUGUAGCCGGCCGGAUAAGUCUCUUGGGAAAUCCAGCAGCUCAACUGUUGGGCUUUCAGGAGAUACUGUCUGGCUCGAGGCCGGGAGAGGUGAGAGGUACUUCAGGGGUAGGGGUGAAAUCUUGUAAUCCUUGAAGGACCACCAGUGGCGAAGGCGUCUCACCAGAACGGACCUGACGGCAAGGGACGAAAGCUAGGGGCACGAACCGGAUUAGAUACCCGGGUAGUCCUAGCCGUAAACGAUACUCGCUAGGUGUCGGCCACGGUGCGACCGUUGUCGGUGCCGUAGGGAAGCCGUGAAGCGAGCCACCUGGGAAGUACGGCCGCAAGGCUGAAACUUAAAGGAAUUGGCGGGGGAGCAC